CCCCCUGCAGAAAUAGACAAACACCAAAACUCGUGGAAUUCUGUCAGAUAAAACCCUAAGUCUAGAUGUUGAUUUCAUUUGGAUCCUUUUCUUUAUUUAUUUGAUAAUUAAAUUUGAUACUUAAGGACCGUCAACACACUUCCCCUCUGAGAAGGUACACCGCUAUUUUACUGACCCUAACUAUAUAGUUGAAGACUCUAAGCAGGUCAGGACAAGAAGAAGACGACGCAACCGUAACCAGAGGAGGCAAAUCAUCAAGGAUGGAUGGGCAGACUACGAAGGAGAAGUUGUAAUGUCUGAAGACAUACAACUUGAACAGAACUGUCCUGAGGAGACCGUAGCACCGAGUUAGGUGUGUAGAGAGAAGAUAGUUAUACAUGAAGAGCAGGCGCCGCCAGAACCACCGACUACGCAAUGCAGUGAAUCCCAGGACGACUGAGGAAACGGAGAGUCCCGUUCGGAGGACUUAAAAACACCGAACGCCUUGCCAAGAGGUAAACUUGGUAGUUAUCCUUCUUCCUUUCAAUUAUUUAAAAUAGUUUACUUAGUUAAUUAUGUUCAUAUCAUCCUAAAAGGAAAAUAAAAAUGUUAAAAAUAGUAAGCCCCAUGUGAGUAUAUGAGUGGCAUAAACCCAUAAGUACAUUCAUUGUGGUGGCAUAAAAAUAAAAUGAAUAUUUCUUUUCUACUUUAUAAAAUGAAAAUAUAAAAAAAGAGAGUAACAUUUAUUGAGGAGGCUCAACAUGAUAAAUGCUAGAUAUUUAUGCUAACACUUAACUAGUUCCACAAAGCUUUGUUGUCUAUUUGAGCUCCACAGAAUUCAAGGAUCAAAGAAGACAAGCAGACGAAGGACAUCCUAAUCGCUGUCAGGGUGCUGCCGACAUUCAAAUACACCUCCGCCACCUGCUAGCUACAUCAGGAGAAGUUACGUCAAAAUCCAGCUUGGGGGAGAGCACCCCCAUUUAUCCAGCUAAGUGUUCUACUCACGUUUAUACUUUACUCAAAUAAUAAAAAGAUGUAUAAUCAUAAAAACUCAAAUAAAGAUUUUGUGCUUAUAUAUAUCUUUGCUUAGUUUGCUAAAUAAAUAAAUAAAUAAAUAAAGUUUGCUAUGAACCCUCAUGAUAAGCUCUCAAUAUGGAAAUGAUGAAUAGUUGCUCUGCCAUGACUAGUUCUCAAAAUUGAAAUCUCUCUCAAGUUUAGGCACGACUGUUAUUAAUUAAGAUUUGCUCUAAACCUGAACUUGUGGGAAGAGUACUUGAUCUAAAGUCUAAGUUGUUAACGGAUAUGAUAUGGGAAGGUUGAGCUGCUAUUUAUCAAUUCCUAGAGAUGCUAGAAUUCUGGAGAAUUUUAUCUUUGAAAAUCUUUAAAAUAUCACAUGAUGAGUUCCUGUAUGAUAAGAGUUUAAAUUCCUACCACAGCCAUAUAUACAUGCUUGCUAGACUUUGAGCCAUACAUUUACUUUUUACUGCUUAUGAGCAUUGAGUGUGGUCAAGCUGUGUAGACCCUUAGGAGCUUGUCAUGUGGUUAAAUCAAGAUUCACUUGCACGUUCACUCACACAUGCUGCUUCUACUCCGAAAGUACGCAUCCACAUACAUCCACUCAUUUCCAUAUCUAGAUUCACCCAAAAAUAUUCUACUCCUAAUCCGGGAGAGAAUAGACAAAAACAUUCUCCUAUUUCUGUUUUCCCCUGUAAAAUAAAUGCUCAAGAUAUUUCGGUUACUACCACUUGCUACAUUAUUUAAAGAGGUGAGUGCUCUAAAAAAAGAAGAAAAAAAGGAGAGAAGAUACGAGGAAAUAAAAAAGGGGCAAGUGCCCGGAACCUCGAAAGAAAAGAAAAAGAAAAUAUAGAGCAUCUCAUUCUCCUCAAAAAGUUUCAAAAGAGCAAGAAAGGUAUGUAUUCCCUCAAAAGAGCACAAGUAGAAUUAUACUUUCACCAUUGUUAUCACCAUAAUCACCAUACACCAUUCAUUCGCCACACAUGCACAUCUUGAUUUGACUUAUUGACUAGUUCUUCUGGAUCCAUGGUUUGACUAUGCAAUAAAUAUCUUGUAAGUAUGUAUUAGCUGUCUCCCACCUAUGAGCUCUAGAUGUCAAAACCAUAUUAGAGUAGGGUGAGAGAGAAGGCAAUGCCACUAUGCCUCAUACCAAAAAUACCACAUACUUUGAGAGAAGGCAUACACCAUUACUGCCUUGGUAAGGAUCCAGAAAUACCACAAAAGAGAGACUAGAUAGAGUGAUACAAGGAAUCUCUGAGUUUUAUUUGAAAAUCUGCAAAAACUCCAGAGCUAUAGUUGAUCAAGAACAUGAGACAUGGCACUUGAUUAGACCGUUCUAUCUUUUAACUGCUCAAGACACAAGUGACGGUUGCAAGCCCCAUGGUGGAAGGAAAAAUGAGUAAGUUUAAAUCUUAACAGUUUACCCUAACCUAGAGAUGAGAUCUUGUUUGAACGCAUGUAUAUCUUUAAGGCAUGAAACCACUGCAGAAACUCUUGAGUUCAUCUUUGCUCAGGGACGAGCAAAGGUUAAGCUUGGGGGAGCUUGUUGACAGUCCUUAAUGUUCACAUUUAACCAUCAACUAAUCAUGGAAAAGGAUCCAAAUGCAACCAACACCUAGACUUAGGGUUUUAUCUGAUAGAAUUCCACGAGUUUUGGUGUUUGUCUAUUUUCGCAGGGGGUUAUCAGGAAAUAUGGAGGAAAAGCCCACACGUCGGGUUUACAUAGAGAUAUUAACGUGCCGCACAAUUUUCUAUCAUCUAGAAGACUCCAGAAGCCACGGGAACGAACGGGAAGGCGAUCGAGCUCGGAGGCAGGUCGCCCGCCCUACUCUCCUGGGCGCUCGCCCACCUACAGUGCCCAAACAGAGUCCUUUUCGGAGAUCAUGUUCCACCGACCUAAGCGAUCAAGGAAAACUGUGCGAUUAAUGUCGGUUUGAUCUGACGGCCCAGAUUCAUCUGAAAAGACUAUAUAAGCAAUGCCCCCUGGCCCCUGGAGGCAUACCUCUUCUACAGAAUCAAAGUUAGGGUUUCAAUUCUUCAUCCAAUUAGAGAGGAUCUCUCUAUUCAUCUAGUUCUACCUCUAGUUCAUCUAGUUCUAGUUCUAGUUCAUCAAGUUCUUCUAGUUCUAGUUUUAGUUAGUUCUAGCUGUAAUCUAGAAAAUAGGGAGAGAGAAGAGGAGAGCGGAGGAGGAGGAGCCGGAUCUGUCGGAUCUUCCUCAACAUUGUACUUUUGCAGCAACUGGUUCGUUCUUCAUCGUUCUCUAGGUUCUGCAACUCAUAAUUCCUGAGUUCUUUAAUUACUUUUAUUUACAUUCAAGUUAUUUAUUGGAUUCUCGCUUGCAUCAAGUGCUCUAAUCUUUGCAACAUUAGAGUAGUAAUUAAUAGAUUAGACGUGGUGUUUAGUCUUGCAAUUACCUGGAAUUGCACCCAAUCCUGCGGAUUGUUGUGGUAGCCCUAGGGUAGUGACAGCCCUAAUGGUCGACGUAUUCCACCUCAUUCGGAUCGGUGUUUGUAGGACAAAAGUCAGAGCUUCCUAGCCCCCUUGUCAUCUCUUUCUGUUGUUAGUGUUCUGAUGUCCCGAAAUAAAUAAUCUUUGAAGUAAUUCUUGAUUCUUAGAUCAACUAGAGAACUCUCAGGAAACCUCCUCUCUUCCCACCAAAAAUAAUUAUAUAGUUAUCCUUGGACGAUCUUGAAUCUUAAUUAGGACACUCACGUUCCCUGUGGAAAAUCGAUACUCUGGAAUACUCCCGGUGAAAGCUACAUCGGUAUCCGUACGCUUGCGGAUUUUUCUAUUUGCGUUUAAAAUACCCAACAGCACUCAGGUACCAGUUGCCCUACACUACAAGAGGAUGUGAACUUCAUCAACAAUAACACCUACUAUCGUCCUCAACAAAAUCAAGGAUGGAAUCAACAACGUCGACAAGGUAAUUACCAAGGUAACAACCAAGGUAAUAAUUUUAAUAAUAAUUUUCCACCUUUAAGAGAACUAGUUGCUAAUCAAUCCAGACUGCUAGAUCAAAUGACUAGGAAACUAGCAUCAAAUGAUAAAACUUUGGAAAACAUACAUACUAGGAUGAAUACAUUUACUUCUGCUAUAAUGGAUCAACAUAGUUUCAAUAAAAUCCAAGAAUCACAAUUAGCUCAAUUAGCUGCUGUUGUACCUCCAUUAGAAAAAGGCAAAAUUCUAGGCCAACCAGAGGAUUUAGAAACUGCUAACCUUGUUGAUAUUCACAAUGCAACCCAAUGUUAUAUUGAGCCUGCAGCUGUAUAGUGGAUUGACCAAUCUAUACAAGAGAAGAUGGGAGACCCUGGAAGACCUGUCAUUCCUAUCUCUAUAGGAUGCCACCGCUUCCCAGACACUAUCUGUGACUUCGGCACAAGUGUCAACAUCAUGCCCAAGGUAAUUUAUGAGAAAAUAUUAAAUGAUUUCUUGUUGUACACAAAUAUGCGUUUACAGCUUGCAAAUCACUCCAUUUGCUACCCCGAGGGAGUAUUAGAAGAACUUGUCAUUAGAGUGGAGCAAUCAUACGUCCUAGUUGACUUCGUGGUCAUGGAGAUAGGAGUAGAUGAGAAGGCACCAAUCAUUUUGGACAGACCAUUCUUAUGCACAACAAAAGCCAUCAUCUAUGCGGAGCACGCCAAGAUUGUCCUAUCCAUCAAGGACAAGAAGGAGAGAUUUGCAUUCAAGAACCGCGUCCUGAAAGCUCCUGCAGCCCCGAAGCAAUUCUACCAACAAGGAAAGCAAGAACAGCAAUCAGUGCUAAAGAAGAAGAACAAUAGAAGAUGGAGGAAGACCAAGCAGGCAGGGACUGCUCAAUUGAUCACAGCUCUCAACACUGAAAAGGAUCAUAUGCUACCCAAGCCAUGUCCGAUAAAGAGAAGUGAUCCAGGAGUUCUAAUCAUUGAAUGCACAAUCAACAACACCACCUUCCCUUACACCGUCUACGACACUAGAUCAGGCUGCAACAUAAUGUCAAAACAGGUAUACGAUGAAUUAUUUGAUUUACCUUUAUACCCAACACAUAUUCAGUUGCAGAUGGCGGAUCAAUCAUUAAGAUUCCCGAAAUAAUUCAAGAAUAUUAUAUACCUGAAGAUUUUCUAGUACUUGACAUGCAGGGAGACGAUGAGAUCCCGAUCCUCUUGGGAAGACCGUUCCUCUACACAGCUAAAGCCAACAUCUACAUCGGAUCAAGGCAUAUCCUCUUCAACCUACCUGCCAGAAAGGUACGCUGUCAAUUUAAAAUACUAUGUAACCGUGAGCAAACCAAGAAGGAACACAAUAGGAGAAGACGCCAAGCCCGUCGGCAGGCUGCCCAGCCUCACUGCAGAUGGGAAGACUUCCCUGGCAAGAUCAUGAAGUAUGAAGAUCACCUAAUGGAGGAAGAAGAGAACACGCAAGCACCCUGAUAGAGUGAGUGGGCCGAAGAAGCUAAAAGGAUGGACCAGAUCGCCAAGAAAGAGAAAGAGGAGAUCUUAGCCUGAUUAGAAGACUGGGAGAAAGAAAAUAGAACUGAAGAGUUGGAACUAGAGAAGGAAGAAGCAAAAGAGACAGAAGCAAGAUGGGAGGAAGACGCACGUACCGCAUCACCGCACUCACACAAUGAACCCACUAAGUAAGUCCUCUCCAUUAUUUAAGCCAUGUCGAUAGACUUUAAAUUCCAUAACCUAGCCAUAAGGUCAGAAUGGUAGUUAUCUAGUUAAAUUAGCAUGAAUUAGUAAUUUUGCUUUAAUACUCUUAGUAGCAUAUUUAAUUCUCUUAGCAUAUUAAUAUAAAAUACAAACAAAAGAAAAAAUAUAUAUAUAUAUAUAAUAUUUAUUGCUUUAAUUACUACAUCAUAAAUACCAAAGCCCCAUGUAAAUAAACUUAUGGUAAUCCCUUAGAAAUAUUUACUGUGGUGGCGUAAAAAAAUAUAAAAUAAAUAGCAUUUAUAUUUAAUUUCUGCGUCAUAAAUAGAAAAUUCAAAAAGAAGAGAAAUAUGAAAUCCUCCUUAAAUAAGACAACAUUAAAAUUAGUUCAUAAGAUUAAUCAAUUGCACAUUGGCUAACCACUAACCCAUUGUUAAAUUCAAACCUUGAGUUUUGGUUUUCUUGUUGGAGUAUGACUAUGCAGGAAUAACACAUAGUAAGGAGAGAGUCUAUCAAUGGCACCCACCGGGUUCGCUGCUGGCUAGCUCACUUUGAAGGACAUCAACAUCAAAUAUUGCAAACAUCUAGCAUGGGGGAGGAGCAUCCCAUAGUUAUUUAGGUAAUUAUACCUAAACGAUUAUCGAGUCUAUAUAGUUAUAAAAAUACCAAAAAGGUCCACAAGUCAUAGAGUCUUUUUGUGAGUUUAUAAUUAGUUAGAGUCUGUUUAGAGUCAGUCUAAACUAGAGCUAAAUAAAAAAUGAUGAACAUUUACAUUUUGUCUUGGAAAUGAUGAAUAGUUGCUCUAUUCUUUACAAGUACCUAGACUCCAACGUUAGAUUCUCUUGAGUUUUAGACAUUACUGUUUUAAUUCAAAGAUUUACUCUGAACCUGCAAUUUGUGGAGGCAUAAGUUUGAGCUAAGUCUAGGUAAUUGGUUGAUAUGAUCAUUGAAAUUUUAAGCUACUUUUUAUCUUAUUCCUAGCAUUACUAAGUUUUGGAGAUUUAUUUUGAAAACCUAAAACCUGUAACACCCAAAAUUUUGCUCCUUUUGAAAUAGGGCUAAAAUGAUCUAAUUAUAUAUUUUUGUGCUCAUGAAAACAUAGGAAAAUAUUUUUUUCAUCAAAUUAAAAUUUAUCGUAGUGUAUAGCAAUAUUGUUGUGCAUACAUGUUGGUACAUAUGUUAUAUGUGAUGUUUGUUUGUUGCUCCUUUGUAUGUUGAGAUUGAGCAAAGUCUUUAAAAUGCGUUUAGUCGGUCGAUCUUCCUUAUCCGACAUGUCUUUUAUAUUCUUCUAUAAUCAAAUUCCUUGUUUCUCGGCUCAAGUUUUUAUUGGGAGCUUCCUAAAAUCUUUUCUUUGUCAUCCAAAUUACUUUUUUCAAUUUUUCAUCCUUCAAUCAAUCUUUACGAUCUUCUUUCGAAAUUUUCUAGCUUUUUCUAGAACUUGUUCUCACUCGACUGUGAGCACAAUCUAUUUUUUAGAUGCUCCAAAUUAUCUUAUCAUAAGCUUUAGAUACUUUAUUUAGGUUCUUCAUCUUCCAUAAUGUCUCUAAGAAUUUUCCAUAAAUUUUUGAGCUUUCGGAGUACUUUAGCGGCUUAAAUACUAAUUCUAGACUUUUCUAGAAUUAUUUUAUCCACAAAAUUAAUUUUAAUUCCGAAAAUAAUAAAUCUCUUAUUUUCCCCCAACUAUCAAAGGCCUUUGUCUCUAUUUACUAAUGAGCUUUAAUUUUAUUUAGGCCUAUUAAUAAAGGUAGAAGGUGUAAUAUCAAUUAGUACCAUAUUGCUAAUUGAUAAGAGUUUUUCUCUCUAUAUAUAUGUACCAACUCUUCUGAUAAAGCACACUAAAAUUACCGUAAGGAAUCCCCAAGGUAAUAAAUUUGAUUAUGUCGUCGUCGCUAAGAUCUUGGGGACUUAUCUCCGCUAUCAAGUUCAGCCGAGAACACCCGUCCCUGCACCUCGACUCUCUCCAUUGGUGAGCAUGCAUCUCCAUGUUUUUUCCUCCCUUGUCCCUAUUCUGCAUUUCUACAUGUUUAUGUAUUUGCCGGCUAUGCCUCCACAGCUCACUAGGGUUUUCAUUGGACGACAUCCGUGUAUCGAUGAAGACCCCAACUGUUUAUCAUAAUAUCCAUACUCAAUUGCAUCUUAGCCAUCGUUGAGAACUCAAUAAUGAUGCUCUCUACUCUCUUUCUCUUGCCCUAUGUGUUAACUGAAUCUUCUUGCACACGCUGUGUUCCUAGCGCUGCCGACGUCUGAUAUCACCAAGUUGUUUUGCUGCUCCAUUCAAAACCGGCCCACGCCUGAGCAACGAGCUGAGCUUGCCGCAUCUUCUACCUGUGCACCGCUGCAAUGCUACAUGCAAAGCCUACAGCUAGCUGAACCAUCUAUAUCACCCACAUGCAACCGAAAAUUAACCUCAUCAUACGCAAGGGCAACAUGCAAGCGUAGUCAUGCCGAGCUUGGAGAGCAGCACGUCCAAUGACUAGCAAGCCAUCCAGCACCUGUAUUAGGCCUACAUGUUAGCGUUCCUACGUUGUGUUAUUGUUUUAGCUUAUCAUUUUUGGUUGUUAGAACAUAGCCUGUGUGUCAGUGUCAACGUUUAACAUGUUAUAUUUUUUUAUGAACUUAAUUAUAUUAACUUGACCAAGAUUAAUAUGCAACUAAUUUUCUAAAUUAAAAGCAACAUAGAGUCGUCUCGUGGUCUUAUGAAAAUGAAUAUUAAAUCAGUUAAUAUAACUUUAAUUAUGUUUUGAUUAUAAUUUAUUUGGCUUCAUAAAUACAUCUAUACGCUCUCUCACAUUUUUUAAGUAUAAAAGCUUAACUGGAUUAAAUUAUAUGACAACGUUUAUAAAUAAGGCACUGUUUAGAUUGGAGAUGAAAAUUUUUUGGAUGUCACAUCGAACGUGUCGGAAGGAUGUCGGGAGUCGUUUUUCGAAACUAAUAAAAAAACAAAUUACAUAGCUCGUCUGGAAACGGCAAGACAAAUCUAUGAAGCAUAAUUAAUCUGUCAUUAGCAUAUGUGGGUUACUGUAGCACUUAAGGCUAAUCAUGGACUAACUAGGCUUAAAAGAUUCGUCUUGUGAUUUUCAACCAAACUGUGUAAUUAGUUAUUUUUUAUCUACAUUUAAUAUUCCAUACAUGUGUCCAAAGAUUCGAUAGGAUGGAUAAAUUUUUCUUAAAAGGGAAACUAAACAGGGCCUAAAAUAUGAGUUUUGACGUAGCUUUUAAAUUAAAUUAUGUUUUACCUAAUCUAAUCAAAAUAACUUUUUACAUAGUUUUGCUCAAUUAAAAUAAUAAAUUAAGUAUAUAUAGACUUUUUCUUCAAUAUAAUAUAAAAGUCUCGGUAGUCGUUUCUUUUGAACCGUAGCUCUGAUUAGCAUGCUUUGUAUGUCUGUGUGAUCGUAGCGACGCAUAGAACCUUUAUAAACUUUUCAUACUGUUUUUAUAUGGUUGUGUACUGUUCUAAUUGUAGCCUUGUUUGCUUCGUGUAUGUUGUCUCUAAUUGUUUGUGUGGUGAUGAUCCAUGAUCGGAUUUAGACGGUGAGCAAUUCGUGGUGAACAAGAGUGCUUCAAUGACCUAGAUCAGAGCCUUGUCAAGUAAGACCAGCAGAACCAAAAAGAUCAGCAAGAGCAAUUAGAUCAAGGCAAGUAUAGCAUCUGGGUUUUCUUUUCUGUGACCAUGAUCUAGUGACUUGAUUAAUAUUUAAGCAACAAACGAUAAAAAUGACUUUUUAGCAACUUGAGGAUUUAUGUGUACGUGAUCACCUGGGAUAACGUGCAACCAUGAGGGCUAUAAUGGCUCUGGCUUUAGCUCAGUGUGAAGACCUUUUCUAGCUUGUUAGAGGUUACCCAUAAGAGCGCUAGAGGGGCUUGCCGACAUGGGUAUAGUGCAAGCCUCUGUCCUUAUGUGUAUAGGUUGCGCGUCAUUGUGCCAUUUGGAAGGGGGGCUCUAUAUCUGCUCGCCCGGAAACCUUGCGGCCCUAACAUGUCAGAUGAACUUUUAAAAUACUUCAUAGUGAUCCCUGCCAACCUUCCUCGGUAGUGGGUUAAGGGGCUGAUCACCACGGGCGAAAGCCUAAAUCAUGACUCAUUGGUAAAGAUGUACAACCUCUACAGAGUGUUAAAAACUAGUAUACUAGCUGAGCUCACGGUCAGGAGUAGCCUUGGGGACAUCUACAUUAAGGGUGAUGAUUCUUGUUGUAUUAAGAUACUCAUUGUUUAUUGUUUAAUGCUUUACAUUAUUAUUGUCACAUUGAUCAUGAGAUUGUGGGAUCUAUACAAUCUAGUUGCUAUACUUGUGGAGUUCGACAUGGACUCACUCUUGCUAUUUCCCCCACACUUCGGGAGAUGUUUUAGGCUUGUGAUCAACUAGUCAGUUUGGAUCCUGUAGAGUGAAGUUAAUACCCGAAGUUGGAGAUAUCUUCUGUUGUUUGUUGCUUAAAGUUAUCUCUGAUUUAUUAUGUACGUUAUAUAACUUAUGCAUUGUCUUUUAAUAUUACCCCUUAUUUGUAGCUAUAUGUGAGAUUUGACUUCUAAGACUCACAUAUGUUGCAUAUCUGGUUUUAUCCUUAAAAUCGGGUAUUACAAUGAUGAGCUCUUGUAUGACAAAGUGUUAAUUCCUACCAAAGUCAUAUAUAAUACACAUUUAGAGUUAGGAAGACAUUUGCACAUUUAUGUUGCUUGCUCUGCAUUGAGUUUAGUCAACCUUUAUCAUAUACCUUAUCAGAGUCUUGUCAUGCUUUCUAAAUCAAGAUCACAUACACACUCCAGUUCAUAUAUGCAUUAUUUCUACACUGGGAGUAAACACCAAUAAUUAACCUAUAGGAUAACCCUUGUCUUUAAUGUUCUAAGUUCUUAUCUCUCUAAUCAUUUGUUGUAUUCAAAGGAUACAUGUGGCUAUGCAAAGAUAUAAAAGAAGGAAAGGGAGUAAAAGAUGGACAAGUGUUCUAAUAAUAAAAACAAUGGGUACUAGAUGCCCGCCUCCCUAAUAAAAUAUAAAAAAAGAGAGAGAAUAAUAAAGAUAGCCCAUGUCUUUCCUGAAAAAGUUCUAAUAGAGAGAUAUUUUUAAAGAAAUAGAAAUGAGCUACAAAUACCACAAAAACACCUAUCCACCAUAUUCCAUACACAUGCACACAUUGGUUUGAUUGUAUGCCUCGAUUCUUUUUGGAUCCACUAGUUGACUUUACAAUACAUGCAUUGCAAGUAUGCUUAUCCUUGUUAUUAGCACUCCUAUAAGCUCCACCAUAUAUAUCUUUAGCUAUAGGAGGUAUAAAUGCCUCAAGAGAGAACCAUAAAGACCACAUAUAUCAAGAGACUUGAGGGAACCGAUGCUACUAUUGGUCUACAGCCUUUCUGUUGUCGUCUGAAACCGAAUCACUGCCAACAGUACCUUGGAGCAUUGUAGUAGAACAUGUAGAAGGGUUUUAGUUUUUGCAGUGUUCCUUGUUGACUUCUGAUGAUGGGGGACUGGUAUUUCCAGCGUAUCGUUGAUUUGGGAACAAUCACCUUUAGUGUUUACAGUAACCAAGUUGUUACCUCCUAAUGCACACUAAAUUCAAGGAGCACAAAAUAUUUUCUUAUAAAUCUCUGAAUAUGAAGCUAGAUGCUCAUUAAAUGGUGGUGAUAUUGUUUCAGGAAAUAUUAGAGGUUUACCUCCACACAGGGACCUUUCUUCUGAUCUGAUGAGUAAGUUGAAAAGGAAAUCUUGAACUAGGAAAAAGAGCAAAGGUGACUUUUUAAUAAUCCUUGAACUCCAUCUCUGUAAACUUUGGUUCAAAACUAAGCCAAAUAAUCACUUUACUCAACUCAGAUUUGCCUUGUACUGCCCUUCUUUUUUCAAAUAAUGUCAAUAAAUUAUAGUAGCUUUGAAUUAGUACUCGAUUAUAGUAGUCAUAUUUUAGUUUGAAGGGCAAUUUUCUUUAUUGGGCUGAUUGGUUCUCAUUGUUGUAGUCCAUUUUCAGUUUGAAUUAGUAUUGAAGCAUGUAGACUACAUUGCUUGAUGGAAUCCAGAAACAACAGCAGCCACAUUAGCUAGUAUUUAGAGCUUGUAUUCACUGAGUCACAACUAUGACAUUGUUGGAGCCACUACACUACUUACAAUGUGUUACUGCUGCUGCUACAACUACGGGAGCCGGCCCAUCUGCUGUAGCCCAGCUGGCAACGGUGACAACACAGGGCACUCGCAUUAUUAGGCAUCCAAGUACUCUCGUGCACGGGCUACAGUGGGCUUGACCACUAGGAGUAGAAGCGGCUGCGCCGUCGGGGCAAGCGACGAUGUAUAAAUACCAGAGAGCUCGGUUGAGAUGGCAUCAUGUCAUGUAUUGAACCUGAACAAAACUCGAUCUAUAAUCUUUCCUCCGAACUACCUACCCCGUGCUCUGCUUCCUCCUUCCCCAAGUCUGUAUUCCUCCUCUUGUUCCCAAUUCUGCUACCCUAACAAUCCUGGUAUCAGAGACUCCAUCGAUCCACAACUGGUUGCAAUCCUGUAUCCCAUCGAUCGUGAGAACAAAUGCCACCGGUUGGAUCACGUUCCUGGUGUCCAGUGAGCUGGUGGCUGCCGGUGAACCACCGUAAUUCCGAUAGCCCGUUCACCGCCUUGUGGAGGAUUUCCCGAUCUGGCGCGUACACCACCUCCCCCUCCACCACACUUCCACUACACCAGAUUCGUGAAGCAAAAGCAUGGCAUUAUGAGUCCUGAGGUCCAACAGCUGAUUAACGAACUCUAGCGCCUCUUCAAGGAACAGACACAGCUCCUGGAUCGGCGUUUCUCGGAUGCGGAGCACUCGGUGGAGCAAUGCAUCCUUGAUUCGGAGAACUGCCUUGACAGUCGCAUCACCGACUCCAAGUCCCACAUCGACAGCGCCAUCACUGAGGCCGAGCACCGCCAGGAUGAUUGCCUGCAGACAUGGGCGGAUUUAGGGGUAUUCCCCUGUAUUCCCGGGAAUACCCAACUAUUUUAGUACACUUUUAUGUAAAUAUGUAUAUAUACUUAUAUAUAUAAAUGUAUAAUGCUAUAAUAUACAGUAUUUUUGCACUUUUGAGCUCAAAACAUGUAAAAAACUGGCAUUUCAAUUAGAAAUCUAUAUUCUAGAAAGAAAAUUUUGGUUUAAAGUUGCUGACUUGUAGUGCAAUUAGCUAUAUUUUAAGCCUAUAAAUUCGACUUUGUGGAAGUGGGAAUACCCAAGAUUCAAAUCCUCGCUCCGCCACUGCCUGCAGAAGAUCGAGAAGGCGACGGGCGGUCUGGAGGAGUGGUGUCAGAACGCUGAGGGGGUGCUCGAUGAUAUGUGCCUGAAGGUCUUGAAGCUGGACAAGGCAUCGGAACGGUCCGUCGUCAAGCAAUCUUCAUGUGCUCCGGGCUUGAUCGUGACUUCACUAGGUGUUGAGCAGAUCGACAAGCACCCAUGUACUGUCGAAAUGGCUACUUGGCCCAACGGCCACCACGUCGACCCACAGCCACAGGAGAGUGGGUACAGGGUUGUCACCACCAUAAUCCAUUCCCCGGCCAGUGGUAUGAAUUCGGACUCAACUUCUAAAUUCCAUGGUACUGCAUAUGAUCUGUGUGCCGCUCGCAACAAACCACCCGAUCCUCAUUUGAGCCACACUGGAUGCAUGCCUAAGUUUCUGUUCGCCACCUUUCAUGGUGAGAAUGUCUGGUUGUGGAUUUCCAACGCUGAAGACUACAUUGAUAUCUGGAAGAUUGGCCCGCUCCAUUGCCCGCCAUCGGUCGCGCGUUAGAUAUCUGGAAGAUGGAGACGCUAACACAAAAUUUUUCCAUCUUCAGGCCUGUCAUAGAAACAGAAAGAGCUUCAUUCCGGAACUGAUUCAUGAAGGAGCUUGGGUUCAUCGGAGGAAGACAAGGAAGAGGCGGUUUACAGCCACUACAAAAGGAUCUUGGGGACGCCCUAUCAGCGUCAGCACUCGUUGCAACUCGAGGAGCUCUUGCCGACAAUUGACAUGACAGGUAUUGACGCUUGCUUCUCAGAGGACGAGAUUUGGGCGGCAGUGAAGGACCUGCCUUCCGACCGUGCUCCUGGACCUGAUGGGUUCAACGGUAUCUUCUACAAAGUUGCCUGGGAGAUAAUCAAGCUAGACAUUGUCAAUGCUUUCAAUGCUAUUUGGUCCCUGGACGGUAGAAGUUUCUAUCACCUCAACUGUGCACUCAUGAUCCUGAUACGGAAGAAGGAGCAGCCAAAUUCCUUAGGUGAUUAUAGGCCCAUCAGCUUGAUCCACAGUUUCAGUAAACUGUUCACCAAAUGUCUAGCAAGGCGUCUCGCGCCGCGUUUACAUGAGAUUGUGUCACCUAGCCAAUCUGCCUUCAUAAAAGGAAGAUCAAUCCACGAUAAUUUCAGAGCGGUGCAGCUGAGUUCUAGAUGGCUAAAUGCUAAGAAGGUCGCUGCAGUAUUGUUGAAGUUGGAUAUCGCGAAGGCUUUCGACUCAGUUUCCUGGCCAUUCUUGUUAGAAGUACUCCAACACAUUGGUUUCCCCAGAAGAUGGAUCGAUUGGAUCUCAUUACUGCUGUCAACCUCUAGCACCAGGAUCAUCAUGAAUGGAAGGCCAGGAAAUAGGAUAACGCAUGCAAGGGGUCUUAGGCAGGGGGACCCAAUUUCACCAAUGCUCUUUGUUAUUGUGAUGGAAAGCCUGAACUCUUUAUUCAAGGAAGCUGAUCGACGGGGAGCACUAUCGCCUCUACCCGAGAGAGUGGCCUGCAACCGUACGUCCUUGUAUGCUAACGACGUCGUGCUACUCGUUGCGCCUCUACAGAGUGAUCUUCAGUGUGUGCAGCAGGUGCUGCUCCUCUAUGCUGGUGCAUCUGGACUCAUUACCAACUUUAACAAAUGUGUUGUCUCCCCUAUCUGCUGCUCUGAGGAUCAGGUGGCAAUAGUGCAGCAGGCGUUCCCAUGCACACUCACUCACUUCCCGUGCAAAUAUUUGGGUAUUCCUUUGUCGCUCAGAAAGCUAAGAAGAUGCGAAGAGCAAGCUCUAGUGGACAGAAUUGCAGCGAGAAUCCCGACUUGGAAGUCGGGUCUACUUAAUCAUGCAGGAAGGACUGUCCUUGUCAAGGUGACUCUAUCGGCAAUCCCUGUCCAUAUUAGUAUUGCCUGCUGCCUGUCAAAUUGAGCAAUUGCACCGAUUGACAAACGACGCAGGGCCUUCCUUUGGGCUGGGACUAAGUCGGUUGCUGCAGGGCGCUGCAAGGUGGCCUGGCCAAUUGUUUGUAGGCCGACUCAUCUUGGAGGCUUGGGUAUUCUGGACCUCAGAUUCUUUGGCUUUGCUUUACGACUGCGCUGGGAAUGGCUGAGAAGGACCGACCCGGGGAGAUGCUGGGCUGAUCUUCCCUGCCGCGGAAGCAAGCCGGUGGAGGCGAUGUCAGCUAGCAGCACUUCAGUGAUUAUUGGUGAUGGUGCAUCUGCGCUGCUAUGGACAGAUCGUUGGGCUCCCUUUGGCCCCUUAUGCACUUUCGCUCCAGACCUUUUUGUUGCAGUCAGUCGGGCAGGAAAACGGAGAUCUGUCAAAGAUGGCCUCGCAAUGAAUUGUUGGGCAAGGGAUAUCAAGGGAGCGCUUACAGUACAGGUUAUCUGUCAAUUCCUCCGUGUCUGGCACAAGUUGCAGGAUGUGGUGCUUCAACUGCUUCAGGCUGAUCGAUUUGUUUGGAAAUGGUCUUCAGACGGAAAGUAUUCUGCCUCCUCCGCUUAUCGGGCCUUCUUCAAUGGUUCAGCGGCUCUGCUUGGGGCAAGGGAGAUUUGGCAAACCAAGGUACCGCCGAAGGUGAAAUUCUUCUUCUGGCUGGUCCUACAUCGAAGGCUCUGGACAGCUGAAUGGCGGAAAAGACACGGCCUUCAGGAUGAUGACGAUUGCGCUUUAUGUGGGCAAGCUCCGGAAUCUAUUGAACAUCUCUUCUUGGGCUGUGUUUUCACUAGGGAGUUGUGGUUCAAGCUUCUGGUGCCGGUUGGGUUACAAGCACUCGUGCCCUUGUCCGACGAGCGGAUUGGUGAUUGGUGGAUGCAGCAAAGGGGUUGGUUCCACUACCAAUCCAGGCCGAUCUUCGACUGCCUUGUGAUGUUGCUCUGUUGGUGCGUCUGGAAGGAAAGGAAUAGGCGCACUUUUGACAACAUUUUAUCUUCGAUCGUGGCGGUUGCUCGAGCUGCUGCUGCUGAGGCCGACGAGUGGGUUCAGUCAGGGUUCUCCUGCAUCUCGCCGUUUGCUAGCUCCUGGUCGCACUUCUAACCGUUUUGUAAUAAGUUAAACUUGGUUUGCCUUCCAGUAGCUAGGUCUGUCUUCUUCGGGCUUCUGGCUUGGUCUCUCGCCUAUGGCCGAGCCUGUUGUACUUCAGCUGUUUUCCCUUACCUCUUAAUGAAACACGAGCCGGUUGGUCUCGUUCGCGAAAAAAAAAGACUACAUUGAUAUGUACCAAGUUGAACCCCACAUGUGGCUAAAAAUCUCCAAACAACAAUUCAAAGAUCAUGCUGCACUGUGGAUUCAAUCCAUCGAACCACAGUUGAAAAUCCUUGAUUGGACUACUUUUUGUCGCAUGUUGCAUGAACGUUUUGGUUGUGAUCAGCAUCAGAUUCUGAUUUGGCACAUGUUCCAUAUCGACCAAGAGUUCACAGUAAUCGACUAUGUCAAACGCUUCUCUGCCUUGAUUGACCAGCUCAAAGCUUACAACCCAAACAUCGACAUGCUCUAUUACACCACAUGUUUCGUGGAUGGCCUGCGAGUGGACAUAUGGUCUGUCGUUGUCGUACAACGUUCCAAAACGCUGGAUACCACGUAUACUUUGGCGCUUUUGCAGGAAGAGGUCGCUGAUUUGACACCUACCGAGGAAGUACAGCGUGAUCAAGCACCAUAUUAUCAGCCUCAAUAUCGGAAUGCUCCUCCUCAGAAACCACUACCUGACUGUGCCGAUCGCAAUGCCAAACCUGUUGAUCCUGCAAACACCAAGACACCUGGCGUGCCUUACGCAAUUAUCGCCGGGUUUGUGGGCUUUGUGAUCACUGUGCCGAGAAGUGGUCACGUGAUCACAAAUGUGCUCCUAACAUUCGGUUACAUGCCAUGCAAGAGGUAUUAGAGCUCUUUUCCAUUGCUGAUGAGACUGAAACUGAUGCUGCAGCCACUACUGAAGAACAGCUGAAUUUAGCCAUUUCGCAAGAUGCUGUGUCGGGCUCUGUUGGUUCUCGCACUAUGCAGUUUACUGGUUUCAUUCAGGAUGUACCAGUGAGGGUGUUAGUUGACUCGGGCAGCACCACAUCUUUUCUUAGCAAACGUAUUGCAGAUCAGUUACCUUCCCUGUCACUGCAAACAUCCAGUCACAAGAUUCAGAUUGCAAAUGGCGGUUUUAUGCACUGCUCUGAAGUUGCUGUUGAUUGCAGUUGGUCUAUGGCCGCCCAAGUAUUCACUCAUUCUCUAAAGAUUCUGCCCUUAGAAUCGUAUGAUGUCAUCCUUGGGAUGGACUGGUUGGGUUUAGUCCAAUGAAAGUAGACUGGAAACAUAAAUGGAUGCAAAUUCCUUUUGGUACAACUUCAGUUGUUCUUACUGGUUUUCCUGAAAUGCAGAACAAUGACUUGAUGUUUCAGCUUCUGUCAUUACACACUACAGAGCAGUCUUCUACUGAUCUCUCUGCAUUUCCACCUGACAUUCAGGGAAUUCUCUCCAAGUUCACAGAUGUCUGCUCCCCACCUUCUGAAUUACCACUGGUGAGACCCUAUGAUCAUUCUAUUCCACUAAUUCAGGGUGCUCGGCCAGUCAACAGUACAUCUUAUAGAUACCCACCAGUGUUGAACGAUGAGAUUGAAACUCAGGUGACUCAAAUGUUGCAGCAAGGUGUAAUCCAACCAAGCAAUUCACCUUUCUCUUCUCCAGUUCUUUUGGUUAAGAAAAAAGAUGGUUCCUGGCGAUUUUGUGUGGAUUAUCGCUAUCUGAAUGACCUCACAGUCAAGGGCACUUUUCCCAUCCCUGUGUUUAAGCAACUAAUGGAUGAAUUGUCGAAUGCAAAAUGGUUUUCCAUCUUGGGUUUGUUUGCUGGCUACCACCAAGUAAGAUUAAGGGAAGGUGAAGAGCACAAGACAGUAUUCUCAACUCAUUCUGGCCAUUUUGAGUUCAAAGUUAUGGCAUUUGGCCUUACCAGUGCACCCAAUACAUUUCAGCAGGCCAUGAACAUCACCUUGGCAUCUCUUCUUAGAAAAUGUGUCAUAGUAUUCUUUGAUGACAUACUGGUUAUCAGCCCAACCUAUGAACAACAUUUGGAGGAUCUAAACAAAGUGUUUCAACUGUUACAGUCCGAGCAAUGGCACAUUAAACUAUCUAAGUGUCACUUUGCUAAACAACAGAUAUCACCUGGGCCACGUUGUCAGUUCGGCUGGCAUAGCUAUUGAUCCAUCUAAGGUCGAAACAAUAGUGAAUUGGCUAGUUCCAGCAAAUGUUCGCGAGGGGGUCUUCUCGGCUUGGCUGGAUUUUAUAGAAAAUUUAUUUGACACUGUUAUUGCAAGGCCUCUUACUAACUUGUAGAAGAAAGGAACACUCUUCAUAUGGACUUCAGAACAUCAGUUAGCAUUUGAUACACUGAAGCAAGCUAUGAGUUCGGCCCCUGUGCUAUCUAUACCUGAUUUCACCAAGCUGUUUGCAAUCGAAACGGAUGCUUCUAACAAUGGUAUUGGGGCUGUCCUCCUUUAGCAAGGUCACCUGUUGGCCUUCAUCAGUAAACCACUUGGUCCAAGAACACAAGGUCUUUCAACCUAUGAAAAGGAGGGCCAUCUUAUUUGCAGUGGAACAGUGGCGUGUCUAUCUUCAGCUUGCAGAGUUCAUCUACACAGACCAAAAGAGCUUGGUUCACCUAAAUGAACAGAGGCUUCAUACCAUGUGGCAACAGAAAGUCUUCACAAAGCUCCUCGGCCUUCAUUACAAAAUUGUGUACAAGAAGGGCAGUGAAAAUCGUGUAUCUGAUGCAUUGUCCCGCCGACCUCACUCAUCUGAAGAAUCUUGCCUUGCUAUAUCAACUGUGGUACCACAAUGGUGUGAUGAUGUUAUUGCCGGAUAUUCGUCAGAUCCGCAAGCCUAAUCUUAUAUUCAUCAGUUGGUGCUAGCUUCUGAUUCUGUGCCACAUUUCCCUUACCAAAAUGGUCUGCUAAGGUAUAAAAACUGAAUUUGGUUGGGUAGUAACAAGGAGCUCCAACUCCAUGUCAUGCGAGCACUACAUACUUCUGCUUUGGGCGGACAUUCUGGUUCCCCAGUAACCUAUCGACGGGUUCGUCAUCUAUUUGCAUGGAAAGGCCUCCAUUAGUUUGUCACCAGCUGUCCUAAUUUUGAACAAUCAAAGCCUGACCGUGCAUGUUAUCCAGGCUUGCUUCAGCCGUUGCCAACACCAUGUUCAGCAUGGCAGAGUAUUUCCAUGGAUUUUGUGGAGGGUUUACCCCUGUCUCAAGGAUUCAACUGGUUUAUGGUUGUGGUCGAUCAUUUUUCUAAAUAAAGCCACUUCAUUGCACUUACGCAUCCCUUUACCGUUCUAACGGUUGCAAAAAGACAUUUAUGAAGCAAUUUUACCGUCUGCAUGGUCUCCCUUCGUCCAUCAUCUCAGACUGAGAUUGUAUCUUUGUCAGUCAAUUGUGGCAGGAGCUGUUCAAGCUUGCGGAUGUCCAAUUGAAAAUGAGUUCUGCAUACCAUCUGCAGACUGACGGACAGACUGAUCGAGUGAAUCAAUGCAUGGAAACUUUCCUUCGAUGCUUUGUUAAUGCAGCCCCGACAAAGUGGUAUGACUGGCUUCAUUUGGCUGAGUUCUGGUACAAUUCCAGCUGACACUCUGCAAUUGAACAUUUUCCAUUUGAGGCACUGUAUGGAUAUACUCCUCGUCAUUUUGGGAUCAAUGCAGUGGAUGCUUGCCCUUCGAUGGACCUUUCAACUUGGCUGGAAGAUAAGCAGAUUAUGCAGACAUUGAUUAAGCAACAUCUCCAGCGUGCUCAGGAAAGGAUGAAGGCACAAGCUGACAAGAAGCGCUUUGAACGCUCUUUCUCUGAAGGUGACUGGGUCUAUCUCAAACUCCAACGGUAUGUCCAGUCCUCUCUUGCUCCUCAUGCCAAUCAAAAGCUUGCCUUCAAGUUCUUUGGCCCCUUUCAAGUGGAAGCAUGAAUUGGACCGGUAGCCUACAGACUCGCCCUUCCUGCACACUCACAUCUGCAUCUGGUUUUCCAUGUCUCCCAACUGAAGCAAGCGUUGCUUGUCAAACAUGAAGUUUCAACUUUACCAGUGACAGUGGGUGGCCUUCAGAUCCCAGAACAGGUUCUCCAACGUCGUGUGGUUUCUUCAGACUCAGCCGUUGUUUUGCAGGGCUUGAUCAAGUGGUCUGGCAUGCCUUGGUCCCUAGCUACAUGGGAGGACCUGGAAGCACUUCAUCAACGCUUUCCACGUGCUCCUGCUUGGGGUCAAGCAGGAUCUAAAGGAGGAGGGGAUGUUACUGCUGCUGCUACAACUACGGGAGUCGGCCCAUCUGCUGUAGCCCAGCUGGCAACGGCGGCAAGACAGGCACUCGUGUUAGGCGUCCAAGUACUCGCGUGCACGGGCCGCAGUGGGCUUGACCCCUAGGAGUAGAAGCAGCUGCACCGUCGGGGCAAGCGACUGGCACUGCCGGAUGUAUAAAUACCAGAGAGCUCGGUUGACACGGCAUCAUGUCAAGAUUCGAUUUAUAAUCUUUCCUCCGAACUACCUACCCCGUGCUCUGCUUCCUCCUUCGCCAAGUCUGUCUUCCUCUUGUUCCCAAUUCUGCUACCGUAACACAAUGAGUGGAGAAACCACUGUUUAGAUUUUUUUUCUCAUCCCACUAGUUGUUGCUUUCAAGCUAAAGGAAUAUAUGUUGCAAUAUGACUACUGACAAUUUCCCAUUUGAUUUAUGAAAAAAAUAGGCCUCAAUUCCUAUUUAUAAUUAAUUCAUAGUUAUUUUUGUAGUGGCGAUUUCUUACAACAUUUGCCUUGUCUUGUUUUGCAUUGGACAACAUCGGUAGCUGGCUCUGGUUGCACUUCACUGAUCUAUACUAUUUGAUUGCACUGGCAGCACCUCACAUGAAGAAGUUGACAGCAGUUGAUUCAUCAACCGGAGGGAGCAAGGAUAGUAGGUUUGUUCAUUACUGAAAUUCCAAACUAAGGGAUGUUAAUCUGCAAUUCUCAUCUCUGCAAAUGCACUGAACUAUGCGAUACAUGGUCAUUGAUUUGUCACAGUUCUAAGAUAGCAUGCUGUGUAAGCAAGUAUUGCCUAUGUGGUUUCAGUGUUGUACAUGCCAUUGUGUCAGUUUUCACUGAAAACUGUAUAAUCUGAAAAAAAUGUAUAAAAUAGAUAUUAACUGUGUCGUUACUUGCUUUAUUGUUGCUUUAUUUUCUCUUGUGUAUAUAUGAUUUCACAUAGGCGUUUCUUAUGUAUUUAUGAUUUCACAUCAUAGACAAUGAUUUUGUACAGCUUCAUUUCCUAUUAUAAUUACAUAUCCUUAUCAACAUAUGAUUUACAAUGUCAUUUACUGAAAAACUGAUGCAUAAGCCAAGAGUGAUGGAAUGGUCUAUUGAGUUUCUAAAAUAGUUGUUGCUUUCAAGAUAAAUUCUUUGUUGAUGUCCAUUGAGUUUCUAAAUAAUGGCAUUGCAAUAUUGAUAUUGUUCGGUGGCACUAACACAAAAGCGCUGUAAAAGUGGAUAUUGUCAACCCUAUUUUUUGUGGCAAUAUAUCCUAUAGCAAUGUACAUUCCAUGUAGCAAUGGACACCUUAUAGCAACAACACAGUCAAUGUGGCAACUACCCAUCUUGCCAAUACUUCUUGGUGUUGCGAUAUAAUUCUUGUUGCCACACUCAUUAUACGUAGCAAUAGCGGCUACACCUUAUAACAACUAAAUAUUGGGCGUGGUAAUUGCACAUGUUGUCACCACUUUUUGGUGUUGCGACGUAGUCUUUAUUGCCACACUCAUUAUAUGAUGCAAUAGAGGGUGCACUUUAUAACAACCAAAUAUUGUGCAUGGCAAUUGCACAUGUUGCCACCACUUGGUGUUUGGACAAUCUUUGUUGCCACAACGUUAUGCAUGGCAAUACAUUCUCUUACAACACACAUUUGUCAUUGCUAGUGCACCAUUUGUUACAACAUGGGUAAGUUUCCAUUGCAAGGUCUAGCAACGCCUAAGGUGUUGCAUUAGUUGUUGUUGCCACACCUACAACCGUAGCAAAAUCUUAUGUUGCAAUAAGUGUUGCAAAUCCAAAACGCAUUUUGCAACGCUUCUAGAAAAGCGUUGUCCAAAGCUUUAUCUACACAAGCGCCUGCAACACCUCUCAACGAAAAAGUGUUGCUAUUUCUGCUAUUGCAACGGGCCUAUUGCAACAUUUUGGACAUUGAAAAUAGGGUAAAAAUUUAGUAACCACUAAGAAUUCUGGACUUUUGUGACAAUCAUAUUAUGACGAGUUUCUUGUCACUGCCUGCCUAUAGUGACAAAGUGGUUGUCGUCACAUAAGACGGGUUACUAAAGAGCUUCUGUAGCCACUAGAGGACAUCGUCAUUGAUAUAGUGACGAUAAUUUUGUUGUCAUUAAUGCAAUGACAAAACUAAAUUUGUCAUAAAAAUUGAACCGAGUAAUGCUAAAUCUAUGAUGACAUGACACAUGCAACAUAGCAAAUGACAUGGCGAAUGACGUGGCAAUUCACAUUCAGCCCAUAUAGCAUGGGUUUUUUUAUUAUAUUUUCAUUUACAAUCAGCCCAAUUGGCCCAAUUAUUUUUUUAGCCCAACUACAAAUUUGCAAUUUUUCCUUUGCAGCCCAACUUUACAAUCUAGGCCCAUAUUAUAGGCCAGCCCAGUUAAAGAAAUAAUUACAGAUUAUAAACCACAUAAGCAAUUGCAUAAUUAUAAUAAUCGGCCCAUACAAUUGAAUAUAUUCCUGCCAUAAAUGUAACCAUCAACUCGUAUAAUAUUAUUUCCAGAAUACAUGUUGCAUACAUAAGAAACAUUCUAGCCACAUUCCAGGCCACCAAAAUAUAAGACCACACACAGAAUUAACAGGCACGUAACUACAUAAGGCAAAAUACCAAGAGUGUUUGGUUGUUGGUUAUAGCCUAGUCAUCCUCCAAAUUCAACUGUUGCAUAGAAGUACCAGGCUCAUAGAAGUACAAGCCAACAACACAUUUCAGCAACCAAAAUAUCAUAAACAAAAGUACUAGCAGGAGGAUCCACUGUUGCACUGAAGUAGCAUAACCCAAAAGGGAUCACAACCCCCAAGUUCAACUACACAAACUAUCAACCUUCAAAAUUCUAGGUUCAUCCACCAAAUUUCUAUUCAACCAUACACAUACACCAUGAACAAAAAAUUCAGCCACCAAAGAAACAAUACAAUAGUCUUGAUUUGGAUGCAAAGGCACAAGAGACAAGCUAAAGCUAUGCACUUGAGCAUACAACUAGCUUAGGGAGGAUUAAUCUGACCUUGUCCAAAUGCUAUCAUUUCUCGAAGAAGGCUCUGAGUAUCUACUGCCAUCUUCCUCAGGCUCUCAAUCUCCUCAGGUUGUUUGUCCACUUUUGUCCAUUCAUUUUCUCUUCAACUUGUGCCAUUGUGUUGGCUUUGAAAGUUUUUUGGAUGCAAACAUCCUCUACAACCUUGGAACCACAGGAAAAUGCUUCAAAACCUUGUUCGGAAUUUGAUUUCUUGUAUCUUCAUCCUUCCAUCUUGAAGCACCACAUAAUGGGCAUUUAUCCAUUUUAGCCAACUCCUUUUUGAACAAAACACAGUUAGUCGAGCAAACAUGUAUCGAAUCAUAUCCAAGUCCCAAUGCACGAAUAACUUUCUUUGCUUCAUCAUAGGAUGCAUGGAUAGGAUAUUUUGGAAAUGCUAAACUUAACAACUUAAAAAAACCACUCAACCCAACACUGUUGAUUCUCUAAAAUGACUUGUUGUGUAGUAACUUCACCACAAAAAGAAAAUCAGGUAUAGGAACCAUCAGGGUGCAGUUCCGUUUCAUCUCUUCUAAUAUGGCUGCAAACUUGGACUUUGUUGUUGUUCCAUGAUCUUCAGUUGUGUACAACUCUUGUACUAUCUCAUGGAUUCUAUCAGCAUCUAGGUCAUCUUCAGGCUCAUUCAUCUCAAUUUCAACAUGGCAGCCAAUAUCCCUAGUUCCAACACUGCAACCAUUGUCCCUAGUUUCAGAGUUCUCAUUUAAUCUUACCUCAAAUGCUUCUCCAUGAUGUAUCCACCUAGUGUAUGUGUUAGUCAUCCCAUAAAUAUAUAAGUGAUCCUCCACUUCUCCAUUAUAUUUAUGUAACCGAGUCAAACACUUAUGACAUGGACAUAAUAUCUCCUGACUGUCACCCACAUUAUCAGAAAUAAAGUUCAUGAACUUAGUGACCUCAUUUCGAUAUUCCUAGCUAAAUAGCCUAGUAUUCACCCAACUUUUGUCCAUCCGCUGAAAUAAGACAACAUCAAGGAAUCAGUCACUGACCAUAACAUACCUAUUCUUUCUAGUUUUCUAUCACUAACCAUGACUCACUAUAAAUCUAUGCAUUCACUAUUAUAAACUUCAUGAAUAUAAACUGAACUACACAGUACCGUCCCUACCUUUUCUAGCUGUUCCAAGGGGAUGAAGCAGUCAACCACGUGGAGACAACAACACCGAUGUAGAGAUAGCGUCGACUGGCUGAUUUGGCGAGGGGCGUGGACCAGGCAGAGACAACGUGACAGCCGACGGGCAAACAGUGGCUGCCGGCGUGGAUCUGCAGUCGGUGGACAUCGUGGAUCUCUAGCUGGUGACGGUACGGUGUGCUCUGCUUGGGUGCAGCCAACUGAGGUGUGGGGCGCAGUCAACUGAGGUGGGGACGGUGCAGGUGUGCGUGUUGUGUCUGGGUUUGGUUGUUUGCUAUCAGGAGUCUAUGCGCAUAUAGAAAAAAGUAGAACCACUAAAGUAAACACUAACACAUGCUCGUCCUAGUCUAUUUAGAGAAGCAGAACACUAUGUGCCAAGUUUUUGAAGUUUUUACAGGUUUAAUCACAGUACAGACCGGAUAAAUAGCCUCUGUUUAUGACAAAUAGGUGCUCAGCCAUCUGCCGGUCAUCAUAGAAGCCACCCAGAUUUUUUGUAGUGAUCGUCAACACUCCUUCCAGACUUCGAUUUCAAAUCCUCUAUCCCGAGCAGUACCAAAAUAGGAGAAGAAUGAUUUACUUAUUUGGCUGCCAAUAUAAUCCAAAUCUUUCUUUCUUCCAUUAUAGUAUUGUUGUAUAUUAGUUUCUAAUUUUUUGUUGCCUGGGUUUCAAAAAAAAUUGUUAGACAGAUUUUACUCUUGAUUGGAGACACUACAUAGUUUACUGUGCACUGCUAGCCAUUCCCUGCUGAGAGGAUAGCACAUCCAACGAUGGAUAGAUUAGCUUUCAUCAUAUAUCCAGUACAAGAACAAAACUGAGAGUUUUGAAUUGGUUCUGUUAUUAUGGCACUGAGUAAUGCAACCUAAAAUCCUAAAUAGCGAAAGUGUCUAACUUCUUUUGUAACUUUUCCUCCCUAAAGGUACCCCAUUUUGUGUUUCUUUGCAUUGGACCCUACUCCCUAGCUCCACCUCUGCGUUGAAUCUCUACUCCUAAAAAGAUGGAUCUGAAAUUGUCAACACUCCUUCGCCUCGCCCGACUAUGUAUGGGUAAGAAGUUCAAAACCCCUAACCCACACUCCAGCUGCAAAACCGUGGCUCGGGCUAAUAUAACAUUUCUAGACGUCCAAAUUUUGGUUGCCUAUGGUCAGAUCUUGCUCUCUACAUGGUUGUGCAAGAAACAUCGAACAGCCACCAGCGUAUCAGUGUACGAGUGGCUUUACAGGACAAGCUACCUUAUAGUCAUAAUCAACACUUCAAUUUGUAGAAUCAGCAACAAUUCCACAAACCCAAAUUUGCCUCCUCUUUGAGUCUGUUCGCUUGGCGGAAAAGUUAUAGACUGAAAGUAUUAUUUGCUAAUUUAUUAUGAGAGAAAAAUACACGCUGAAUGACUGACAGAUUCGGCAGAUAAGCUCAACUUAUUGCAAAAGAUCUGCCACGGCCAUGGGUCCCUAAGAGAAGCACCAGUGUACCGGUGAAAUCGAACCGAGGGAGAAGAAAAACAAACCGUGAACACUGGAGCGUGUGAACCGUCAUUGUCAAAGUAGAAAGUGGACAACGCAGGCGAGUCAAACUCUCAGCGUUGUACACGCAUGAGAAGAGAGACCAACGAUAGAUCCGGAAUCUUGGACGUGGCAUUUGCAUGGUGAGUGGUGGGUCCCAACAGUCGAUGCUCACACUGUAGACAUCGAACCAUCUGACACUUGCAAGUCAGUCUCAAUGAAAAUUUCAUGUGAGUUUCAUUUGUAUUAAAUAUAUUGCUAUAUAUGCUUUUUUGAUGACAUGGCGGUGUGUUUAAGAAGAGAGAGAAGAAAUGAGAUUACUAAUUAGGCCAGAUUUGUUUUGUUGACAGGGUCAAAAAUCUGAGUGUUGGAGAGUGAGAAACACGCUGAGUAGAGUUUCUUUUUCUACAAAGGAUAUGUCAGAUUGUGCAUGCGUUCAGUUCAUGCAGCUUUGCGAUAAUAUGACGUUCCCUUGCCGAUUGACAAAUCAGACAACAUUUCCAACUCAUCUAUAUCUUAGCGUGAAUCUUAUGGUCGACAAUACGAGGGUACAUGUCCAUGUCCUUAGCGAUAAAAUUUACUAUACCUUAUACAUACUACUGACGUUGCUACGUACUCCCUCUAUCUACGAAAGAAUUAGUUUAUAAAAUCCGUAUCAAUUAUUUUUUUUUAAAUUUGAUUAACUUUAUAAAAAAAUAAAAACAUUUAUGACAUAAAAUACGUAUUUUAUGAAAAUAUAUUGUAUGAUAAAUCUAAUAAUACUAAUUUGAUAUCAUAGAUUUUAGCAUUUUUUAAAAAAUUUAAUUAAAGUUUAAAAAAUUUGAUUUAGGAAAUCUCUAGUAAUUGAUUAUUUCAUAGACGAAGGAGUACUAGCAAAUCAAGUCACUGCUUGCUACUACUCAACUCUCAGUGGACUUGUUCUGCCCAUCGUGUCCAUCUUCCUCGUCCUCGCCGUGGUCUCCACCGCCGAAGAGCUUCUCGGUGUCCUCCAGGCUCCUGCCCCUCGUCUCCGGAAGGAAGAAGAACAUGAACAGCCAGCCGGCAGCAGCGAUGCCGGCAUACAGGUAGAAGCUCCCGGCCAAGGUGAUGGCCUUGUAGAGCGAGAUGAAGGACAUGGUGAUGGCGCCGCUCAUGAUCCGGUUCAUUGCCGUGCCGAGCGCGCAGCCCUGCGCGCGGAGUCGCAGCGGGAAGAUCUCCGAGCUGUACACCCACGCGAUGGGGCCCAUGCCGAUGGAGAAGGACGCAACGAACGUGAGCACCGCCGCGAUGCUCACGCCCGCCAGCGGCGUCGCAUGCCCCUCGGGGAGCCGGUCGAUGGCGUGCAGCGCCGAGGCCAGCGUCACCAGGGACACCACCAUCCCGCCCGCGCUCGUGAGCAGCAGCGGCCUCCGCCCGACACGGUCGAGGAAGAACGUGGCCACCAGGAUGAACAGCGUCUUGGACGCACCCACCGCCAUGGUGGCGCCCAGGGAGUUAUUGUCCGACCUGAGCCCGGCCUUCUCGAACACUCUCGGGCUGUACAGCACCACGGAGUCGAUGCCGGAGGCCUGCUGGAAGCACUGGAGGCCGAGACAGGCGAUCAGUAUGCGGCGCACGGGCGGCGUCGGGCGGAUGAGGAGGUCCCUCCACACCCCUUCGCCAUGGCUGCCCUGCUUGCUCCUGCGAGCGACUACCACCACGUCGUCGUCGUCGGCGGCGGCAUUGUCACCGAUGCCGUCAGGGAUGCCGAUGGCCUUCUUGAUGUCGGCGAGCCGCUCCUCGGCCUCGGCGGGGGAGUCGGAGGUCUUGGCAAGCACGCGGCGCGCGUCGCCGAUGCGGCCCUGCAUGACGAGCCACCGCGGCGACUCAGGCAUGGCGAGGACCCCCGGGGCGAGGAAGAGCGGCGGGACGGCGCCGACGAGGAACAUGACGCGCCAGCUGAGGUGCACGGGGAGACUGUGGAAGGCGUAGUUGGACACGUACCCGAGGAGCACCCCCGUGUUGAUGAACACCUCCGGGAAGGACGUGAGCAGGCCGCGCGCCGACGUGGGCGAGACCUCGGCCGUGUACACGGGCGCGACCAUGAGCGCGUACCCGACGCCGACGCCCGCCACGCAGCGGCCCAGCAUGAGGACCCCGUAGCCCGGGGCGAGGCCCAUGAUGAGCGCGCCCGCCAAGAAGAUGGCCGCCGCCAGAACCAUGGUGUACCGCCGGCCGAUCCAGUCGGACGUCCGGCCCGCCGCGAGCGAGCCGACGAGCGAGGAGAUGCUGAUGAUGCCGGCGAGGACCUCGAUCUUUGUGUCACUGAUCUUGAGGUCCUCCUUGAUGAAUAGCUGUGCUCCGCUCAUCACUGCCCCAUCUGCAUACAUACAGAAAAAGGAGGAUCAGAACCUGAGUAUAGUGAGUAACAGAUAUUGCCUGUGGACGUACGCGGUGCAUAUAUGUCACAUGGCAACGAGUGCGUGGAAUUGUAUGCGUCAUGCAAGCACGUACCGUAGCCGAGGAGGAUGGAGUUCAUGGAAGCGAGGACGGCGCAGGCGAGGGCGUACUUGUUAAGGGGCGGGCGCUUUGCCGGCGCCUCGACGACGGGGAUGCCGCCGUCGUCGGAGGCGUCGUCCUGCAUGCACAUGGCGAAGGCGGAAGAGACGCACUGGUGGAGAGCCGUCGCCCGUUGUCGCGGUGUCACCACUUCCAAGUUGGCACCUGGAGCGAGAAUCAAAACGGCUGUCACAGGCAACGAUAAUUUCUUCACAAACUGUGAACUGAAGCAGUAUGGUGAACAAAGCACACCAAGACGAGUCCAAUGACUAAGUGCCAGUCUUUUCUUCAGCAAACAAAACCAAUCUGUGACUACUACUACAGCUACUACAGCUCUAUAUACAAGGCAGCUGUAGCAGCCAGAUGAGGCAGUCCGGGCUGUCGAGACGGGUUUGACUCAAGGACUGAGCUCGUGCAGGAGACUAGGAACAGUGACCUGCGUCUGCGUAUGGGCUGUCUCUGUCUGUGGCUCACUAGCCUCUUCACCUUCAACGGAGCGGCAUUGCCGGCGUCAAUGAAAGCUACUCGCCGGGGCAACGGACAUGGAAAAACCUUGCAUUGCAUUUAAAAAACUUGCAGGCUUGUCCGUUUGUAGAUAAUUUAAGGAUGCCUGAUUGCCUGGCCCUGUCUUUGCUUGCGGAGUUGCGCCGUUGCAGUCGUUAGCCAUUGUUUUCACAUCGAUUCCAUUGGAUCGCGAACGGCGGACCAGCUAGUCAUUUGCGACUGCCGGGUGGUCUUGUUUAGAGCUGCAGAGUCUUGCAAAUACUGAAACACCCCAGUUUUCCUCUUGUCUUGCGUUAGAGAUUGAACCCGUACCUACCCGUAAUGGAAUCGUCUACGGUGUCGUUUAUACCUAUCCUGCAAAAAGGGAGGUGCAAUGCAAGAUACUGAUUCGAACUUCUUGCAGAGUGAAACAAUGCAGUACUAAACACAAGAUAUAUCUUUCAGAAGAAGGUUUUUUUUCGAAUAAGCCAAUUGAUUUCAAACCUUCGGUUCCAUUUUUUUUUUCUAUUCAAAGAUUAGGCCUUUUUCAGACGAAGAUGAAGAGAUGGCAAAGCGGCUUAGUACCAGUAGUGGAGGAGUGUCAAAUAGUUUGCCAAGUGUUUUUUUUACUCGGUAAAGAAGCUCUUUGUCGAGUGUUUUGCAAUCUUUGCUGAGCCUAAAAAAACACUCGUCAAAGAUCUUCUUUGCAGUGUAAAAAAACACUCGGCACAAAAAAUUUCAAAUCAAAUUUUGAUUCUUAAAUAAAUUUAAAUCAAAAAGUUUUCAACUACAAAAUUAUAUAACUUCUCAAGAUCUAGAAUCUUUAUUUUACUAAUUUCUUCAUUUGACAAAGUAAAAAUAAAUCUGUUCAUAAAAAUAAGUUUUGUGAAAAAUAUUAGAAUCACCAUAUCGGAUAAACAAAUGACCAAACAAUAAAAAUAAACUUGGUAUAUAUUGAGAAGUUAUGAAAUUUUGUAGUUGGUAACUUUUUCAUUUGAGUUCAUCUUAUCAUGCAAAACUAAAUAUUUAUUUAAACAUUUUGAAAUUUGAUUUUUUUAAACAAUCUUGGAUGAAAAAACUUUCUAAACAAACUUUGUAGAUCUCGAACAGUUAUGAAACUUUAUAGUUGACAACAUUAUCAUUUGAGUUUAUCUUGUCAUGCAAAAUUGUAUCUUUAUUUAAAAAUUUAAAAAUUCAUUUGUUUCAAAUGACCUCGGAUAGAAAACUUCCUAAAUAAACUUUAUAAAUCUCAAUAAGUUAUGAAACUUUGUAGUUGGAAACUUUUUCAUUUGAGUUCAUCUUGUCAUGUAAAAAUACAUUUGAAUUUUUCAAAUUUAAAAUUCAAAUUUUGUAAACGACCUCGGAUGGAGGAACUCCCUAAAUAAAAAUUGUAGAUCUCUAAAAGUUAUGAAACUUUAUAGCUAACAAUUUUUUGAUUCGAAAAUGUCUAGGGCCUCAUACAACUAAUUUACAUAUAAUUUGGUAUGAUAUAUGAGGAACAAAAAGUGAUAGUGUAGUACCGUGGUUAGAGCAUCUCCAACAACACACCAAAAACUCAUCCCAAUAUUGGUGAUCACCAAUACUACUUUUUUUAGGUUUUUAGAGUAGGUGCUCCAACAGAUCACCAAUAUUCUAUCCCCAAUAAUACACUCUUCUUAAGAUAGAGUGAAUGCUAUUCCUAGUAAACCUCAAGUGAAGAGAUAAAAAAUCACACUGUAAAAAUUAUACAGAACUGAAAUUUUAUCUUUGUGAAACCACAGCUAGGGGACAUCACGCAAAACAUGCUCACAUGCAAACUGUUAAACACAAAAGAAGAGCCUGAGUGAACUGGAAGUCUCGAAUCAAGAGUUCAACUUAUUUCCCUAAAAAAAGAGUUCAACUUAUUCAUUUUCGAAGCUAAAAGAGUGCACAUGUCAUUCCUUGUCACUGUUAAUUAGAACCAGUUGCAAACCGGCAAUGCAUAUGAAGCCUGACAAGUUAUACAUAGAUAACAUGAAUGAAUUAUUGUCCAUGUAACUGCCACAAAUGCUUUAUUAAGUCAUCUCGAAGUUGGUUAUGCCCCUCACAGUCCUCAAUCUUCUGAUGAGCUUGCAGAAAUUUGUUGAUUCGGUCAUUAUCCCUCAGGCUGCACUACUACAGAAUAAGCCCUUUGGUCACUUGCCCAAAAUAAACAAUAAUCUAGGCCCAAUCAGCGUUCGGAACAAAAACAUCUUUAGUCCCGGUUGGUGAGACCAACCGGGACUAAAAGUCCUCUGCCCAACGGCUAUGGUGUCAGAGAUCGGCAGAAGAGACCUUUAGUCCCGAUUGGUCUCCCCAACCGGGACUAGCCUUUGGUCCCGGUUGGUAACACCAACCAGGAUUAAAAGAUGUUGUCCCGGUCCGUCUCACCGGUCGGGACUAAUGUUGGACUUUAGUCCUGGUUGUUAAUUAAAUGGAACCGGGACUAAAUGUCCUUCCCCAUAUUUGAACUCUUCUUCUUCCCCUGGCCGAGCCCAUCGAUCUUCACUCUUUUGCUGUGUUCUUAAUUUGGAGUUGCUUGUUCUUGCUCUCAUCUCUGGCUAUUGAUUCAUUUCAUCAUUUCUACGCAUCAUCGACUUGUUAAAAGGUCACUAGCUUCAUCUUCUCAACAUUUAGUAGCGACAUAUGCCAUUUCCUAGUGUUAUGUAUGUUGUUUUUUAUUUUAUGGUUUUUAAAGAGGUUACUAGCUUCAUCGUCUUCUCAACAUCGAUGUGUUUUUUUAGAGAAAUAGUGAUACUAUGUUUUUUUUUAUUUUAAUUAGUUUAGAAAAAAAUUAAAAACGUAUAAUACUCUAAUUUGUAAUUUUUGACCGAUUUAAUUAGUUAAUUAUAACUAGUAUGUAUACCACAUUUCAUGAUUAUUUAGAAAAAUAUAGAAUUUUUGUGCUUUUUUAAUUUUGCUUGUUUAGAGAAAUUAGAAAUAGAGAAUUUUAGGUUUUUUGUUAGUUUAAUUUCUCUAUUAAAAAUUAAAAACUUAUAAUACUUUAAUUUACAAUUUAUGACAAGGUUAAUUAGUUAAUUAUAACUAGUAUGCAUGCCACAUUUCAUGAUUAGUUAGAAAAAUAGAGAACUUUUAUGUCUUUUUAAUUUUGCUGGUUUAGAAAAAUUAGAAAUAGAGAAUUUUAGGUUAUUUGUUACUUUAAUUUCUGUAUAAAAAAUUAGAAACUUAUAAUACUUUGCGUUGCAAUGCAGACAAUGACACAUCAUUGGAUGUACAAUGUCGAUCGCCGCUCCAAAUAAUUCAUUGAUGGUGUGCAUAGAGUGGCCGAGGAAAACAAGCGGGAUGGAUUCAUAUGUUGCCCAUGUGCCUUGUGUCAGAAUUUGAAGGAAUAUUCUAGCUCUAGAAAUAUUCACUAACAUUUGUUGAAGUCGGGUUUUAUGCCAAACUAUAUUUGUUGGACCAAGCAUGGAGAAAACGAUAUAAUGAUGGAAGAAGAUGAAGAAGAACAGUUGGAGCCUGACGACAUUAUUGCUCAAUACGACAUUAUUGCUCAAUACGGUGACUUCGGUGAUACAGCAAUGGGAGAAGCUGAAGAUGAGGCAGGUGCAGAAGGCGCACCUGUUGAAGAUGAUGCUCUUGGUGAUGUCAUUCGUGAUGCACAGAAAGAUUGCGAAAGUGAAAAAGAGAAGACAAAGUUUGACCACAUGUUAGAAGAUCACAAGAAAUUACUAUACCCAUCUGCCCAGGAUGGGCAAAAAAAAUAGGUACAACACUGGAGUUGUUAAAAUAGAAGGCACAUAAUGGUGUAUCCGAUAAGGCAUUUGGUAAUUUCUGAAGAUCCAAAAAAAGAUGCUGCCAAAGCCUAAUGAACUGCCCACUACUACAUACGAAGCAAAACAGAUCGUCUGUCCUUUGGGAUUAAAAAUCAAGAAGAUACAUGCAUCUUCUAACGACUGCAUCCUAUACAGUGGCAAGGACUACGAGAAUUUAGAUGAAUGCCCCGUAUGUAAAGCAUCACGGUAUAAGAUCAGGCGAGAUGACCCUAGCGAUGUUGAGGGGGAAGAACACCCCAGAAAAAAAAUCCCUGCAAAGGUUAUGUGGUAUGCUCCUAUAAUACCACAUCUGAAACGUCUUUUUAGAAAUAAGAACCAUGCAAAAUUGUUGCGGUGGCACAAAGAAGAACGUAAAGUAGACAACAUGUUGAGACACCCUACGGAUGGGUCCCAGUGGAGAGCAACAGAUAGGGAAUUUCCAGAGUUUGCAAAAGAUGCAAGAAACUUAAGGUUCGCUUUAAGUACGGACGAUAUGAAUCCUUUUGGUGAGCAGAGCAGUAGUCAUAGCACUUGGCCUGUUAUACUAUGUAUCUACAACCUUCCUCCAUGGUUAUGCAUGAAGCGAAAGUUUAUUAUGAUGCCGGUGCUCAUCCAAGGACCGAAGCAACCGGGCAAUGACAUUGAUGUCUAUCUAAAGCCAUUAAUUGAAGAACUCCUUUUAUGGAGUGAAAUAAGUGUUCGUGUGUGGGAUGAGUACAAACAGGAACACUUCGACCUGCAGCACUGUUGUUUGUGACAAUCAAUGAUUGACCUGCUCUAAGUAAUCUUUCAGGACAGACAAACAAGGGAUAUAAUGCAUGCACACACUAUUUUGAUGACCUUUAUAGUAUAUAUUUGAAAAAAUGCAGAAAGGUCGUGUACCUUGGGUAUCGUCGAUUUUUUUCUAUGAAUCACCCAGUUAGAAAGAAAGGAAAACAUUUUAAAAGUAAGGCAGACCACCGAUGCAAGCCUCGCAACAGAAUUGGAGAAGAUGUAUUUGAAAUGGUUAAGGAUGUGAAAGUAGUUUUUGGUAAGGGACAAGGCAGCCAACCAGUUCCAAAAGAUGCAGCUGGUCAUGCACCCAUGUGGAAGAAGAAGUCAAUAUUUGGGAGCUACCCUAUUGGCAAGUCCUAGAGGUCCGGAAUGCGAUCGACGUCAUGCACCUAACAAAGAAUCUUUGUGUGAACCUUCUAGGAUUCAUGGGUGUAUAUGGUAAGCCUAAGGAUUCACUUGAAGCACGACAAGACUUGCAACGCAUGGAAGAAUGAGACAACCUGCAUCCAGAGAAGACAGAUGAUGGACGCCAAUAUUAAAGACCUGCUAGCUACACUCUUAGCAAUGAAGAGAAAGAAAUCAUGUUUGAAUGCUUAAGCAGCAUCAAGGUCCCAUCUGGAUUCCCCUCUAAUAUAAAAGGUAUAAUUAAUGUGUCCGCGAAGAAAUUUCUGAACUUAAAGUCGCAUGACUGCCAUGUGCUUAUGACGCAAUUGCUUCUAUUUGCAUUAAGAGGAAUUCUACCUCCACAUGUACAUCUGGCCACCGUAAAGCUAUGUGCAUUCCUCAAUACAAUUUCUCAGAAGGCAAUCAAUCCACUGGAACUAGCUGCUCUACAGAAUGAUGUGGUUCAAUGCCUUGUUAGCUUUGAGUUAGUGUUCCCUCUAUCCUUCUUUGAUUUCAUGACACACCUCCUAGUUCAUCUGGUCAAGGAGAUCAAUAUUCUUGGUCCUGUGUUCCUACAUAAUAUGUUUCCCUUCGAGAGGUUUAUGGGAGUUCUGAAGAAAUAAGUUCACCAACGUGCUCGGCCAGAAGGAAGCAUCACAGAGGGCUAUGGGACAGAGGAAGUCAUUGAGUUCUGUUUUGAAUUCAUUCCUGAACUUGACCCAACUGGUGUUCCUGAAUCGCGACACGAGGGGAGACUGAGUGGAAAGGGAACACUAGGAAAGAAAACAUACAUCAGUACGGGGGACGAUUCUUUCAAUAAAGCACACUACACAGUUCUUCAAAACUCAUCCGUGGUGGAGCCGUAUGUCACGAAACACAAGGACUUCCUACGAUCCCAAUUCCCAGAGAAGAAUGAAGCUUGGUUUAUGCGUCAGCACAUGGACACUUUCAGUGAUUGGUUACGAAAAGAAUGUCAGGGUAAUGACCAGAUUGAUGAGCAACUGUAUUUGUUAGCUAGGCAACCAUCAUGGCACAUCCUCACGUACAAAGGGUACAAGAUAAAUGGAAAUACAUUUUACACCCUAGACCAAGAUAAAAGAAGCAUGAACCAAAAUAGUGGGUUUCGUCUAGACGCCAUAGACCCUAAUGGAAACAAACAAACAUAUUAUGGCCGUAUAGAGGAGAUUUGGGAACUAGACUACGCACCUAAUUUUAAAGUCCCUUUGUUCCGGUGCCAAUGGGUGAAGGUUACCGAAGGCGGGGUGACAGUUGACAAUGACUAUGGAAUGACAACAGUGGACCUCAACAAUGUUGGUUACAAAGAUGAACCAUUCAUCCUUGCUGCUGAUGUGAAUCAGGUGUUCUAUAUGAAAGACAUGUCUACAAAACAGAAGAGAGGGAAAAAUGACAACAAAUCAACAAAUGAGCCAAAACGCCUUAUAGUUCUCUCAGGGAAAAGAAACAUUGUGGGAAUUGAGGACAAGUCAGAUAUUUAAGAAGAUUAUGAAAGGGAUGACCGAAUCACGCAUUUCAAUGUGAUCAAAGAUCCGAGCAUACUGAUAAAUGCUGAGGACACUCUGUAACAGAACCGCCCAAAUUAUAAGAGAUUAAGCCUAAUAGUGACCAUUUGCACAGUCGAACCAUCAAGCUUAAGCCCAUAUAAUCCCGGUAGUCUGUGAAAUCUCGAAGGAUUUCAAACCACAACUCAUACAUACAGCCAAGAUCGUAAUAAGUUCAGCGGUCACCAUUCACAAUUACAUCCAGUUCGCAACAUUUAUCACAUACAUCGGAGUUCACUUAAGUUAUUACAAACCGAGUUCUCAAGUAGCGGAAGCUUCAUAGUUUGAACAUAACACACACACACACUUAGUCUGUUACAGUGCCAUAGUUUGGUCAUUCCCACAAAAGCAAAAGAGGAGGUAGAGUGACCGUCGCCCUUGGUCUAGUCAUCAAUCAUUGCUGGGUAUAAGCAGUGAAUGCAAUAACCAUAGUACAUCUGCCCAUCUACAAAACAACAUGGGAAUGGAACCCUGAGUACGAGAAUGUACUCAGCUAGACUUACCCGUCAUAAACCAAAAAUAAAGACUCUUCAAGGAUCAUGAAGGCUGUAUAGUGGGGUAGCUGAGACCUUUUGCGUAAAAGCAUUACUCAACUAAAAAUCAUAGCCUGAUAACCUUCCUUCUUUUAAUUAGCUCAAGUUAAGUAUUAUCAUUACCUAUUAUCUAGGUUUGCACCUGUACUAUUGCAAACAAGUGUUGUGAUAUGAUAGUACCUUAUCAUAGCAUUCACAAAUUAUUACUUAUCACAUCAAGUGCUCCAUAGUCCUUACAACGAGGAUAGGGCUUAUGUCAAGUGCUCACUAUCCAGGAGCGAUGGCGAUUCGAAUCGAUUUCUGAACAGCUGGCGAGUUAUUCCCCACACAAACCACACUCACUGAUCAAGUGAGCUACAGAUCACCGUAUUAAACUAUCCAGGACCAAUUCGCAGGUUCGACUGGCACCGCCCGUACCCGAGGACCAUUCCGGCAACCGAGGUAUCCAAGGUAUACCAAGGUUGCGCAACGCGCCCUCGUCGUUCUCCUCAACCAUCACCAAUGCAGCGCAUACAUCGGGCCGAUUCCCGGCCCGGAUAGUGCUCAGGCUUCGCGGUCGGAAUGAUUUAUCCUUCCAGCUAAGUGUGGGGCAUGCGUUCAACAUGACAGGAGGGCCGUCAACGAUCGGUCCUUAAUCGACACAGGCAGGGGCACUACGGUCAAUACCACCAUAAGACCCUGCCCGGUCUCAAGUUCAUUCCCACACUUGGUUACUUUUCCUCAUAGCAUCGACAACAAUCAAACAGGUGUCCACCUAUAUCUCACAAGUGACAGGAAAUCACCCGACUUCUACCGUACUAAGCAAGCUAAGCAUAGACUCCGAGCCUAUCUACAUAGGACAAGGUAGAUAAAUAGGUGGUGAUAUCAAGGAGUAAGUAUGCAUCAACGGUAUUGUUGACGGUCCUUAAGUAUCAAAUAUAAUCAUCAAAUAAACAAAGAAAAGGAUCCAAAUGCAACCAACAUCUAGACUUAGGGUUUUAUCUGACAGAAUUCCACGAGUUUUGGUGUUUGUCUAUUUCUGCAGGGGGUUAUCAGUAAAUAAGGAAGAAAGGCCCACAUGUUGGGAUUACAUAGAGAUAUAAACACACCGCACGAUUUUACAUCAUCUAGAAGACUCCAGAAGCCAAGAGACCGAAGCGGAGGCGAAACUGGGCCAGGCCCAGGGCGCCCGCCCUGGUAGCCUGGGCGCCCGCCCCCCUGUUGGAGCCAAAUCAGGACUUCUUCGCACACGACGUUCCACCGACCUAUUGGAUCCAGAAUAAUACAGUACCACCUCGCCUAUCGACCCAAAAACGCAUAGAAGGGGAGGACUAUAUAAGGAGACCCCCUCUGGCCCCUGGAGGAGACAAGAAAUUAUCAUAGAGAUUGAGGGGUGCCCUCGAAGGAAAACCUCUUAUCUAAAUAAUAUUUCUUUUUAGGCUUAGCAACCAAUGUAAAGUAGAAAUAGAUCUUCUAGUUUCUACUAGAUUGAGAGAGAUAGAGUGGAGGUGUGGAUCGGAGGAAGGCCGGCCUGUCGGUGUCUACUUCGAGUUGUACCUGCGGGAUCAAGUCUCCUAACCCGAGGCUUGCUUCUAAGAUUCUUCAGUAAUUCGACUUCUAAUUCUAGUAAGUUCUUGCUUUAUUGUUCUUUGGUUUAUGAGUUUACUUUAAUCCUCUUCCAGUUGAGUAUUAGAGUAAUCACUUGUUAGCGUAAACGUGGUGUUUAGGCUAGGGUACUCAUAGAUAUCCCCUGACUAGCUGGACCGUGGUAGUAGCGAGGAACGUGACAUUUCCGAGUUACCUUUGCAGAUCACAUCUCGUUAGCAGGACGGGUAGGUUUAUAGGUGCGGGUCGAACAUCCUUUGUGUUGUCUAGAUUCCGUGAGCCUCUCCAAUAGAACAGUAGAUCAUCCUUACCAAGGUUAGAACGAGACUAAGGUUGCAGUCUUCUCUAUAUAUCACUCACAUCGAGAGACAUUCUUUGUAGCCUAAAGGGAUAGUAGCAAUAGAUUUGGUUAGUCAGAUGCACCCUUUCUCCCAGUGGUAAAAAUAUAAAUACGAUACUCUGGAAAAUCUUUCGGGUGAAAUGCUCACCGAUAUCCGUGCGCUUGCGGAUCAUUUUCUAAUUGCGUUAUCAAAUAUCAACUGGUAUCAAGCAAUUCCUAUCACUUAAAUACAACAUAGUAGAACAAUCAUAAUAUAUCAAUUAAGUUAGCGAGAAUAGAGAGACUUAGAAUGCUCCGGGGCUUGCCUUUCUCAAACGUGCUAGGACUGUGGUCCGGACACUCCUGCAGCUCUCCUUCCGGCUCUGGUCCUCCCGAAAGUUCCUGCUCCUGGGUUUCCUCCUGCUCCUCGGGUCCCACCUCGUUCUCCUGUGAGCCUGUAUGAUGCAUGUGUGCUCAUGAGUGGAGUGCGAGAUGCCCGGGGUGCAAUGCUUAUGCAAGUGGGUACCAGAUGAUCAUGACAUAGUGCAUAGAUGACAUAGGUGAUCAUUUCUUCAAGGUAGUCAACAUCAUCCAAGAACAUGUAGUCAAACUAAGCAUCUAUUGCAUUCUCUUCUACAAGUUGUUUUCAUGGUUAACCAGCAAGCUAACAUGAUGCUUCAAAGAUACACCAAACACCCUUUAUUCUAUUUAACUUAUGCACAACAAUUCAUAAUUUAUUUUAAUUAUUAUUGGACCUACAACAGUAGCAUGCACUUCUCAUAAUCAAUAAAUUCCACAAAAAUUACAGUAGAUCCCUGGUCAAUUAUAAAUUCUACCACAAAUUUUUCAUAAUAUUUGGGCAAGUAGUUUAGCCUACACUAAAAUACAAGUUUAUUCUAUAUAAAUAAGUAUAAUUACCCCACUGGUGAAAAAGUGUCGAACAACAGAUUUCAUAUUUUUAUAAAUUACCUACUAACAUAAGAAACACCCCCAAAAAUUUUCAGACUAAUUGCAUGAUCCAACUAUUUAUUAAAAAUCAUAAACCACUGUCAUACAAGCAUUUAAAUCAUUAUAAAUUGAUUUAUACAGCAAACAGUAUGUGACAUAUUUUUCCUAAAAACUGAACAUCCAUGCAGAGCCAACAAAAUAAGUUUCAUAUUUUUCUGAGUUAUAUUUUAAUUACUAUGCAUUUUCUAACUAUUAGCAAAAAUAUGGAUUACAUAUAUUUAUACAGAAAAGUUAUUCAAACAUGACAUGCAAUUACACCAAAUGGUAGAUCUAGAAUUAUAGAACACAACAAAAUUUAUUUCAUCAUUUUUGGAGCCAUAUAUCUCAAGAUAUGAAUUAAAUACGACUUUAGUCAUUUUCUGGAAAAUCUUUUAAAAUGAAAACCGACUCAAAACACUAAGUGCACCCGGAUUCAAACCCGCAGAGGCGCUGACAGGCGGGACUCGUUGGUCAGCCAACCCCACGUGUCAGCCACCCCGUGUUUCCGCGGCCGAAGACCGGCCGGGAUCUCACCGCCGGUGAGGUCUCCGGCGACACCGAGAGCACCUACGGCUUCGUGAGCGCGAGACGAGUCUAGCCGUGCCCUUUUUGGUGCUUGACGGGCACCGGAACUACCUCGCCGUCGGGAAUGGUGGACGUGGCGGCGCUGCUCGCCGUGGUCCGGCCAUCUCGCGGCGAUAGAGCGUGUACUAGCGACGGGGAAGGAUGCGCAAUGCCGAGGCGAAGCUAACGCACUCAAGAAGCAAGCAAUGGCAGAGAGGAGAGGGAGAACCGCGCGAGCCGAGAGGUCGCCGGAGCUCCGACUCACUCUGGUGAGCUCUACCGGGCACGUGGGGCUUACCGAGCGCGAUUGAGCGCGAGCGCGGGGUGCGGAAGGGCGAGGCGGAGUCGCUGGUGGUUGCGGAUAGGAGGGAGGAGGCCGGAGCUGGCGAGAAGAGCUCCGAGCGUCGGCGGCAAUGGCGAGCGGCGGAGCGGCUGCUGGUGCGCGCGGGAGAGAGAGAGAGAGAGCGAGAGUGCUAGAGGAGGAGCGCGUCUGGCAGCGGAGGCGAAGGCGGACGCGGCCGGGCACACCUGGUGGCUGACCAGGGCGCGUCCAAGCCGUCGCAUGCGCGCCAUGCAGCGGCCGAGUUCUGCCGGCGUGCCACGGCGUCGCGGCGCGGCCGUCCGCGCGCGUGGACGCAGCGCUGGCGCGGGCGCAGGGAAGGGGCGAGCGCGGGCGGGCUGGGCCGGCUUCGGCCAGCGGGCUAGAAGUGAGGCCGCGGCCUACUAGCGCCCCCCUUUCCUUUUUCCAUUUUUUGAAUUUCUUUUCUCAAUUCUUUUUCUAAAUUCAUUUGGACUAUUUCAAAACCCUUUUCAGCCUUAGCUCCCAAAACUAAAGUUGUCACAAAUAAAAAGUUCUACAACUUUGGUUUAAGUUGAAAUCCCAAAUUCCAAAUAGAAUUUGAAAUACAGCUCAAAACUAGUUAUAGGUUUUUAAAUAAAUCCAUUUUGGGAAUUUUUGUAUUAAAUCCAUUUCUCAAUUUCUAUAGCUCCAAAAAUUUCACAAAAUCAUUCUUAAUUCUUCUAAAACAUAUUUCAACCCAUUUUGGUCAUCACAAGAAUUUUGGCAACAAGCAUACUAUUUGUAUCAUAUUUAGACCAUAAAAUUUAAGCACAUAAAAUCACACUUGGAUUAAUGCUAUGCUCAUGUGAUGCUAUGGUUGUGCUAUGCUUGAUGAGAAUGCUUAUGAGACUUAAGUGCAUGCUUAACACCUAGGGUGUUACAGCCCUUCCCCCAUUAGGGAAAUCUUGUCCCGAGAUUUGGGUUACUAACCAUUUCUUCUGAAAUUUUGGGUAAACUUUUUUUAGGUAAUCCUCGGUUUCCCAGGUGGCAUCUCUAUCAUCGUGAUGACUCCACACCACCUUGUAAGUUUUGACAACUCUGUUUUGGGUUACCCGCUCCUUGGUAUCUACGAUACCCACCGGUUGCUCUUUAUAUUCCAAAUCUGCCUUUAUCUUGAUUCGUCGAGGUUCAAUCCUCUGCUCAGGUAUUUUUAAACACUUCCUCAGCUGGGACACAUGAAACACCGGAAAAAUUGAGCUCAACUCUUCAGGUAACUGAAUCUUGUGGGCCAUAGGGCUUUUCCGUUCUAGUAUCUGAUACGGUCCCACAUAUCUAGGUGCAAGCUUGCUCCUAACUCAGAAGCGCUGGGCUUUCUUCAUCGGUGUAACCUUGAGGUAAACAUAGUCACCCACAUUAAACUCGAGCGGCCUUCUUCUCUUGUCGGCAUAACUUUUCUGUCAUGAUUGUGCGGCUCUCAUGUGUUGUUGUAUGGUUUGCACCUUCUUCUCAGCCUCGUUCACGAAGUCGAUACCAUAGUACCUCCUUUCACCGGGUUCGACCCAAUUUAACGGAGUCUUGCACUUUCGUCCAUACAAAGCUUCGAACGGAGCCAUCUUGAUACUCUUUUGAUAGCUAUUGUUGUAAGAGAAUUCAGCCAAAGGUAACCAUGAUUCCCAAGAUCCCCUUGACGAUAACACACAAGCUCUCAGCAUAUCUUCGAGCACUUGAUUGAGUCUUUCCGUUUGACCCGAGGUUUGGGGAUGAUAUGCUGUGCUUCUUAUCAGACUAGUCCCCAAACUCUUAUGCAUUCGCUCCCAAAAGUGAUCCGUGAACUGCGGUCCUCUGUCCGAUAUGAUGGUUUUGGGAAUACCAUGUAGUUUGACAAUCUCAGCCAGAUACAAGUCAGCAUAUUCAGGAGGUCUGUAACGAGUCUUAAUGGGGAUGAAAUGAGCCGACUUGGUCAAUUGAUCUAUGAUUACCCAAAUCGAGUCAUUCCCUUUUUGCGUAGUCGGCAGACCCACGAUGAAGUCCAUGCUGACCUCUUCCCACUUCCAUUCUGGAACUGACAACGGUUGCAACAGCCCUGCAGGUUUCAUGUGUAUAGCUUUGACUUUGCAACACAUGUCACAUCGGGCUACAUAUGCUGCUAUCUCUUUCUUCAUUUUGGUCCACCAAAAGUGAGACCUCAAGUCUUGAUACAUCUUACUACUGUGAGGAUGGAUAGAAAGCUUUGAGAGAUGUGCUUCAUCCAUGAUGCGAUUCUUCAGCUCUCGAUCCUUCGGAACUACUAACCGAUGUUGAAACCACAACACACCUCUCUCGUCUACUCGAAACUGAGUCAUUGGGUCAUCCUUGAUCUUUUAUUUGAUGUGAGAAAUACCCUUGUUUGUUUUCUGACCUUCGAUGACUUGACUCUCCAGCGAACAACUGAGUUGUAUGUGACAUAACACUUCAGGAUGCAUGAGAUUGGAACCAUCUUCAAACAACGGCUGGACCACUUGGUAGUGUGGUUUGCGGCUUAAAGCGUCUGCUACCACAUUAGCCUUGCCUGGGUGAUAGUGGACCUCUAGAUCGUAAUCCUUGAUCAACUCUAACCAUCUCUGUUGCCUCAUGUUCAGCUCGGAUUGAGUGAAGAUGUACUUCAGGCUCUUAUGAUCUGUGUAGAUAUGACACUUGUUUCCCAGCAAAUAAUGCCUCCAGAUCUUCAAAGCGUGCACGACAGCUGCGAGUUCAAGGUCGUGAGUCGUAUAGUUGACUUCAUGCUUUCUCAACCGUCGUGAAGCAUAAGCUAUAACUCUGCCUUCUUGCAUUAGCACACAUCCUAAACCACUUUUCGAUGCAUCACAAAACACAUCAAAAGGCUUCUCGAUAUUUGGUUGUCCUAGAACAGGAGCGGUGGUCAGCAACUUUCGCAAGGUGCAGAAGGCUACUUCACACCCUUCCGUCCAAGCAAACUUAUGAUCUUUUUGUAGCAAACUGGUCAUUGGCUUAGCAAUCUGGGAGAAGUCGGGUAUGAAACGACGGUAAUACCCGGCUAGACCAAGAAAACUUAGAACUUCCGAGAAAGAAGUUGGUGCCUUCCAGUCCAUGACUUCCUGUACCUUUGACGGAUCUACAGCAAUUCCUUCUUCUGACAGAAUGUGCCCGAAGAAAGGAACUUUCUUCAGCCAGAACUCACACUUGCUGAACUUUGCAUACAACUGAUGUUCUCACAGUCGUGUUAGCACGACUCUCAGAUGCUCGGCAUCAUCUUGCUCAAUCUCUGAAUAGACCAGAAUGUCUUCGAUGAAUGCCACAACAAACUUGUCUAACUCUAGCAUAAAGACGGAGUUCAUCAGAUACAUAAAGUAUGCAGGAGCAUUCGUCAACCCAAAAGACAUGACAAGAUACUCAUACAACCCAUAUCUAGUGGAAAAAGCAGUCUUCGGUAUAUCUUGCGGGCGGAUCUUGAUUUGGUGAUAUCCGGACCUCAAAUCUAUCUUGGAGAACACUUUUUCCUUGGAUAACUGAUCAAACAAGAUAUCAAUCCGUGGCAAAGGAUACUUAUUCUUGAUUGUUACCGCAUUGAGUGGACGAUAGUCCACGCACAUACGCAACGAUUGAUCCUUCUUUUUCACAAACAACACCGGACAACCCCAUUUAGACGAACUCGGCCGGAUGAAACCCUUAUCCAGCAGCUCCUUCAGCUGAGUCUUCAAUUCAGCGAGCUCGUUGGGCGGCAUCCGGUACGGCCUUCUAGAGAUCGGUGAUGUACCUGGUAUCAACUCUAUAGCGAACUCCACUUCCCUAUCCGGGGGAAGUCUUGGCAACUCCUCAGGAAAAACGUCAGGAAACUCACAGACCACUGGUAUGUGUUCUAGUGGAACCACCUAUACUGCACAUGAAAGACUGGCGAAGUCGAAUCGUCGGGGUAGCCUAACCUAAAGCAUGCCAGUUGACGGUCCUUAAGUACCAAAUAUAAUCAUCAAAUAAAUAAAGAAAAGGAUCCAAAUGCAACAAACACCCAGACUUAGGGUUUUAUCUGACAGAAUUCCACG
rnacentral:lncRNA from 1 species